rnacentral:lncRNA from 1 species
UUUAAAACCAUUUUCUUUGGUUUUAAAGAAACAAUUUUUCUUUGGUCAUGAUUUUGUUGGUAGAUUUAUCUUUAUGGAAUUGUAGUAUUUUCUUGCUCUAAAACCCUCAGUUUAACCCCUUCUUUUUUCUGUCUCACAUUUUUGCCUCCAGCGAUAUGAAAAUGAACCUUGGAGAAUGGGAGGGUCCUGGGGGAGGGGGGCUGAGGGGCUCUUCACCAGGCAGAGAUGAACCCCAGUGCUGACACAAGCCCUUUCCUUUUCCUGGUUUCUCUUGCCCUGGAGAGUGACAGGCAGAAAGGGCUUUUUGUCUCUUUGGACCAUUUCUGUAUCCCUGCUGCCUCAAACGAAGCCUGGCCUGGGGCGAACUCAAUCAAUGACUCUGACGGGAGACAGGGCUCCGGCCCACUGGGGUGAUGGGCUAAAGAGGGGAUUCUGGUUCCUGUGGACAAUCUGGAAGCUGGAAGCUGUUAGAACUGGAGCGAGGAUUUCACCAAGGAGCUCACAGAGAGAGCCCGGGCAGGAACUCUCCAAUCAUCUGGCGGCUGAGGCCCUUUCGCUGGAGGAGGAAAUGGGCCACACCGAUGGGGGUGUCCGGGAUGAAGCCGCGUGAGAUCAGGAACUGGAUGCCCUUGUCGGGGUUUCUGGAGGUGGGGGUGGGGAGAAGCAGUAGAGAGUGAGCUGAAGCCAUCCAUGACUCUUUCCUCCCUGUCUUCCACCCAUAGAAGUACCCAGAGGUUCUUGGAAAUCCAGUUCCCCAUUGAAGCUUCUCUCACCAGAGCCUCAACCCACUGAAUGUCCUCACGCAGAGGAUGGUGUGUGACCAGAAGGAGGACAGGGGAGAUCUGCAAACAAAGUCCCCACCGCAGACGCCCCAACCCUGGAGAGAGGGUGGGAGAAACAGAGGUGAGACCUCCGCCACACCACCUCUUCCCUUUGCAAGCUUUGAAGCCAUGCUGCUCCCUGAGCUGUUCCUCACAGGUCCGGGAGGAGAUAAGUACAGAAACACAAGGUCUGCCGAGUACUAGCUAUUUCAUCGUGUGCAUUUCGCCUUACUGGUGUGAGCCGGCUUCUUUUCUGUAAAACAGCAUGGUAAUACCUCUGUGUAGAUACUGCUGGAAGAUUACAGAUGCUUUAUGUAAGGUGAGCUAUGAACAGUAGCUACUUCCCCUAGAAUAGGAGCCUCUUGAGGCCAGGGGAUGUGUCCUUCUCACCUCUGUGGUCACAGUGCCUGGCACCCAAUAAAUAACAGCCGAAUGAACGAAUGAACACGCAUUAGGGCCGGGGAGAUGUGCUCUUGGCGCAGGGUUAUGAAGGGGCGAGUGGAGGAUGGAGGCGAGUGCCUGCCUCCUGGACCUGACAUUUCCAUGGGAGGGGCAGGUGUGCUUCCUUUCCUCUGCUUGGGACUGGCUGUAUACAUUCGGUGCAGGACCAGUCCCGGUCUCGCUGGGGUCUCUGAGCUAUGGCGGUCGGUCAUUUCUCCCCUGUUCUCUUUCUCCUGUGCCUCUGCCUGCUUCACACUCUCUCUUCCUCGUAGCCCUCCCCUCUCCUGCUCUCAGCCGGCAUUCUUUACGAGGCGCCUCUCCUCCCUCCCCCACCCAGCCUCGCAUUUCACCA